GUGGAAGCAGCAGUGGAGGAGGAUGAGGUAGCCAACACUGUUUUUUAUAAAUAUAUAUAUUUAUUUUUCAAUUGGGGUAGCACCCAAAAUAUUGGGACAUAUAAAAAAAGACAACUCUGUUCCGCAGAGUAGCUGUUGACAUUAUAGUUGCGCAGGCACUUUGUUGACUCUAGAGAACCUCAGGCCAAUCGCACAUCCCUGUGACGGCGACUUUGCAUUCGAUGUCAUCCAUAUCAACUUUCAAUGUCAGUUUCUGCACCUACCAUGGUGACCACAGGUAACAGGGUAUCAGGGUUCCAUUCCGUACAGGGACCCUGAGAAACGGCUACCACAUGCAAGGAAGGCAGCAGGCGCGCAAAUGACCCACUCCCAACGCGGGAAGGUAGUGAC
rnacentral:rRNA from 1 species